GACGAACGCUGGCGGCGUGCUUAACACAUGCAAGUCGAACGGAAAGGCCCUGCUUUUGUGGGGUGCUCGAGUGGCGAACGGGUGAGUAACACGUGUGUAACCUGCCCUUGACUUUGGGAUAACUUCAGGAAACUGGGGCUAAUACCGGAUAGGAGCUCCUGCUGCAUGGUGGGGGUUGGAAAGUUUCGGCGGUUGGGGAUGGACUCGCGGCUUAUCAGCUUGUUGGUGGGGUAGUGGCUUACCAAGGCUUUGACGGGUAGCCGGCCUGAGAGGGUGACCGGCCACAUUGGGACUGAGAUACGGCCCGGACUCCUACGGGAGGCAGCAGUGGGGAAGGUUGCACAAUGGGCGGAAGCCUGAUGCAGCAACGCCGCGUGCGGGAUGGCGGCCUUCGGGUUGUAAACCGUUUUCGCCGGUGACGAAGCGUGAGUGACGGUAAUGGGUAAAGAAGCACCGGCUAACUACGUG
rnacentral:rRNA from 1 species